rnacentral:rRNA from 1 species
AUGGCUCAGGAUGAACGCUAGCUACAGGCUUAACACAUGCAAGUCGAGGGGCAGCAUGGUCUUAGCUUGCUAAGGCUGAUGGCGACCGGCGCACGGGUGAGUAACGCGUAUCCAACCUUCCCCUUAGUAGGGCAUAGCCCGGCGAAAGUCGGAUUAAUACCCUAUGUUUUCCAAUGAGGACAUCUGAGCUGGAACAAAGAUUGAUCGCUAAGGGAUGGGGAUGCGUCUGAUUAGGUAGUAGGCGGGGUAACGGCCCACCUAGCCUACGAUCAGUAGGGGUUCUGAGAGGAAGGUCCCCCACAUUGGAACUGAGACACGGUCCAAACUCCUACGGGAGGCAGCAGUGAGGAAUAUUGGUCAAUGGACGGGAGUCUGAACCAGCCAAGUAGCCGUGCAGGAUGACGGCCCUAUGGGUUGUAAACUGCUUUUAUGCGGGGAUAAAGUGAGGGACGUGUCCCUUUUUGUAGGUACCGCAUGAAUAAGGACCGGCUAAUUCCGUGCCAGCCGCUGC